rnacentral:rRNA from 1 species
UACAGAGGCCCCAAGCGUUAGGCGGAAUCACUGGGCUUAAAGCGUGUGUAGGCGGGUUGGUAAGUACUUUGUGAAAUCCCACGGCUCAACUGUGGAACUGCUUAGUAUACUGCCGAUCUUGAGUCAUUUAGGGGCAGCCGGAACAGAUGGUGGAGCGGUGAAAUGCGUAGAUAUCAAGAGGAACACCUGAGGUGAAGACGGGUUGCUGGGCUGACACUGACGCUGAGGCGCGAAAGCUAGGGGAGCAAACGGG